CUCACAGGCUGCCCUGGUCGGAUGGGCAGGACCUGGGGGAAGCAGCUUUUGGUUGCAAAUAAAACUCAAUCAAGCCCAACGCAAUCCCCCCAGAUUCCUGGAGACCUGCCUGCAGGGGAGAGACUCACGUGCCUUUCCCUUCUGAUCGAACUACCAACACACGUCCUGCUGCGCUGCUGCUGCAGAAAGUGGGGACAGAGAUGGAAAGAAGAGCAGAGAUGUCACAAUCCUUCCUUCCUCCUCAAACAAACGGCAUCUCCUCAGUGGGAUAACAACAAUGUGACCACAGUGGUGUGACCGUGUCCAUCAGCCUCCUGACCUGCAGGAGACCUUCAGCAUCCUUUGGAGAAGUGCUGGUGACACCCUGCCUGCCCCGUGGAGGCUGCCACGACCCCUUCUGUGUUUCCUGUAAAGUGGAGAGUGGUUUUGGCCGGCAGAGAGAACACGACGAACGAGGUUAAGCAAAUUCCCACUCCCACCCAUCCGGGGCCUUCCGGGACCAUCCCAAAUCUCCAUGCAGAGCACAAACACCUCGUCAUGGCCAGCAAGCCUUGCGCAGCCGCUGGCUACAGGCAGGCUCGCCCGCUCUGAGCUCAGCUGCUGGCUGCGGCUGACCGAGUAAAUAAAGAACAUUUCUCACGAAAUCCACCCUCUUGGAGGUCCCCAGGCGGAGAGCUGGCCUUUCCAUGGCUCAGGAAACCUUUAUCCCCCAGAUCUACAGCAGCCCCGUGCUGCAGUUGAUUUAGCAAGCGAUGUUUGCACACCCAGGUUUGCAGUGCACUGACCCUGUUCCCGGCAGCACCGUGACAUUUGCAGGCACCGUUUCCAUCUGGCCCCCUUGUACUUUCUGGGAGUUUUUGUGUGCUUGUCCAAAUGGGGGGAAAGGUCAGAGUUAUUGAUGGAAGGUCCAGACUAAAAUCUGGACUUCCCUAAGCCCAGGAUGACUGUGCCUGGGCUAACCCUGCAGAUUAGGGCUCCAGUGGCCUCCCCUCAGUGAGGCUCUGCUCCUAAUCUUUGGGGCUCUCAUAGCUCUAGCACAUACCCAUAUUUUUGGGGGCUCUUCUGCAUCCUGUUUCUGACCUUGCAGAUCCUCCUUGUUGCUCCUCUCUACCCACCCAGAGCUGAACAGCCUCCACCCUGAUGCCUCCUCUGCAGCUAAGGCCUUGACCUUUAUUUUCCCUUAAAUCAAUACCUAAAAGCCAUGCUGCAGCAAUACCAGCAUGUCAGGGGAAUCCAGGUGAUUUGUAUCAUCUGAAGAGCUGAUUCUGCUUUUGAGGCUCAAUCCUGGCAAGCUUUUGUCUUUUCAGCUCCCAAUCUCUUCUGCGCUGCCUUCAGCACAGUAUUGUAUUCAUCCCCUGACCUCCCUCCCUGGCAUUAUUGACUCUGUAUCUUGGUUUUAAUCUUCUAUAAAAUGAAGGCAGCUCCAGGUAAAAGAAGUUCUAUUCUUCCUGAUCAUAAUAUUUCUUUUGCCAAAAAGAAGAAAAAAAAUUAUUUAACGUGAGUUGAAGUUGAAAAGGCUUAAUUAAAAGACUUAACAGAGAAAAAAACUACAGGGAAAACUCUACAGACUUUUGUGAAAUUCUCACUGUGGAGAAUCAAGCUUCUGGGAGCUCUUGUUGAUAUCUAUAGCCUUACCUCCAUGGCAGGGAGGUGACCCUACAGCCCCAGGAUGGGGAGAGGGUGCUGCCAUCAGCCAGGAGCAUCCUGGAGAGGAGCUGCAUCCAAGGCUUCUUCCCCACCAUCACUGCUCAGCCACUCUCCUUCCUCCAAUGCUGUGUCCUGCUGUGGCUGUCUGCAGUGGUUGGCUCUCAGAAGGAGCAAACAGCCUGUUUUGGGUGCAAACAGGGUGUAUUUACCAGUGAAAAUUCAUGCCAGCCCUGUUGGUGAGGCUGGCACAAUUGUGCCCACAGAAAGGAUUCAGUUUGUAACUACUCCACUCAUAAAAAAACCCAACAACCAAGACCUAUCUCCUUCUGUCUAAUAUCUACUGGCAAAAGCUUCGGGAACUGCUUUUGCAGUUAGUUGAAGCUGAUGUUUGCGAGCCCACCAUUCCCAAUGACUGAUCAGAUAGACUUUUCCCAUCAGAGCAUUUAUUUUUCCAACAGGACACCGAGUCCUGAAACAAAUGAAGGCUUGCACAAGAAAUCCUCUGCCUCAGUUUGGCAGCAAACAGAAAACAAGAAUAUUUUUCUUUAUUCUAAUACCAAAUUUUUGUGGCUAAAUAGAGCCAAAAAUAUAUCUCACCCCCACCCUCCCCCCACUUCUCCCAGACACGAGACAUCUCCGAACGCCGAAAGCAACUUUUCCCUGCCACAAAUGGACCAGAUAAACCCAGCAGGAGACUGGUGCUUAGGAGAAACAGAUGUGCCUCUAAU